rnacentral:rRNA from 1 species
UACGGAGGGGGCUAGCGUUGUUCGGAAUUACUGGGCGUAAAGCGCACGUAGGCGGCUUUGCAAGUUAGAGGUGAAAGCCCGGGGCUCAACUCCGGAAUUGCCUUUAAAACUGCAUCGCUAGAAUUGUGGAGAGGUAAGUGGAACUCCGAGUGUAGAGGUGAAAUUCGUAGAUAUUCGGAAGAACACCAGUGGCGAAGGCGACUUACUGGACACAUAUUGACGCUGAGGUGCGAAAGCGUGGGGAGCAAACAGG